GCAACAAUGAGUUCAGUUCAGGCUUUGAGAGAGUUUAUCAAGCAACGACGAACUGCUGCUGCUGGAGAAAUGUGAACAAACUGUGGUUCAGUAAGAAGUGGAAACCUCCAGUCAAGUCUCACAGAACAGAGAAUCCACAGCAACACAUUGGUCAGCAGAAGAUGAGUUCCAGUGUGGAGCAGGAGGAACAUGAAGCUCCACACAUGAAAGAGGAGGAAGAGCUUGUUGGGGUGACUGUUCCUGAUGGUGAAAGUGACAAUUCCCACCACUGUUUGAGAGACUUCAGCAGCCAGAGACGAACUGCUGCUGCUGUGGAAAUAUUCAGCGUGUUUGAAGAAACUGUGGUCCAGCACGAGAUGGAGAUUGAUGGUCAGCGCAGACACAGAACAGAGCUCCCACGGCACCAUGACUGUAGAGAGGAGCAGCUCUUUAAACAGGAAACAAAAUACUGUCAAGAGCAGGAAGAACCAGAACCUCCACGAAUCAAAGAGGAACCAGAAGAACCAGAACCUCCACAGAUCAA